AGGGCGCCACGGUUCAGUUUAGCCGUUCUCUCUUAGUUUCAGAGUUAGAAUUUGAGUUUACUUGUGGCGUUGAGGUUGUUUCUACUAUUGAGAAAGACACGCGAAACCGGGAUUUUGAUUGUCGAUUUCGGGUUGAGGCAAAAAGGACAUUGUGACGCGUUUGGGUUAUGGAUUUGCGUUUUGAGGUAGGGGCGCUUUUCAAAAACUAUAUUUUAUAUGUCAGAAUUAUUACAUAUGGAUACUGAUGUGAGAUAAUGUAUUUGGUGAUUGUAUAAGCCUUAUGUGAUGUUGAUUAUCCUAGAUGAAUGUAAUUAUAUGUUUGAAUGGAUUAUUAAUUGGUUUUGAUGAA